UACAGAGGUGGCAAGCGUUGUUCGGAAUUACUGGGCGUAAAGAGCGUGUAGGCGGCCAGGUAGGUCGGUUGUGAAACUGGAGGCUCAACCUUCAGAGGUCGACCGAAACCAUCUGGCUAGAGUCCGGGAGAGGAGAGUGGAAUUCCUGGUGUAGCGGUGAAAUGCGCAGAUAUCAGGAAGAACACCCGUGGCGAAAGCGGCUCUCUGGAACGGUACUGACGCUGAGACGCGAAAGCGUGGGGAGCGAACAGG
rnacentral:rRNA from 1 species